GGCGGUGUUUCCUACCGGAAAGGUUACGAUCCUUUCGAGUUCGUAUUAUGCAGGUUCGACUCCUGCCGCCGCCC
rnacentral:tRNA from 1 species